CAGUAGCGUAUAUUAAAGUUGUUGCAUUUAAAAAGCUCGUAGUUGGUGUUCCGCUUGGUCUCACCCAUGCCAGUCGUGGGCGUGUGCCUUGUGGUCCUCGGUGCGUACACCGUUAGCACUGUGAGAAAAUUAGAGUGAUCCAACCAGUCUUUGACUGAAUGCUUCAGCACGGUAUGGGGUUUCGACUCUGCUUCUUGCAGCAUCCGUGUGAGAGUUGCGGGGUAAAGGUUAACAGAGACAGACAAUGGGAUCCGUAUUGAGUUGCUAGAGGUGAAAUUCUUGGACCAACUCAAGACGUUCUGAAGCGAAAGCUCUUUCCACGCAUGUCCUUAUUAAUCAAGAACGAAAGUUGAGGGAUCGAAAGCUCUUUCCACGCAUGUCCUUAUUAA
rnacentral:rRNA from 1 species